GUCUACAACUAUGCUACCCUGAACGUGCCCGAUCCCUUCUGAUCUCAGAAGCUAAGCAGGGUCAGACCUGGUUAGUACUUGCAUGGGAGACCACCUAGGAAGACCAGGUGCUGUAGGCG
ensembl:rRNA 5S_rRNA 5S ribosomal RNA